AUUCUACUGACUCCAAGUUCACGCAGCUGUUCAUCCCCUGCUUAAUGUACUGGUUGCCUGUGUCUGUACCCCGUUUCAUCUUCACUUCUGGGAACCAGGCUGAUGGAGAAGUCUUCUAGCAGAAGUACUAUGGGUCAUGAUGGCAGAAAGAAGAGCAAACUUGGUGGACCAUGUGCUGGCCCUUGAUGGGUCUACUCAGAUGGGUCACGUAUCUCUGCUCACAAGGGCACACAAGGGAAACUCUUGAAAUUCCAGGGAACUUUAUUUACUGAAGCCAAAAGACUCCAAUAGUCAUGAAUAGUGUCAUCUCCAGAAAGGUAGCUACCCUUGCAUUUCAUCAGGGCUCUGCUUGCAAGAAUCGCAAGGCAGAUCAAGCCUAGCGGCCUAAGAAUGCACACCACCAUGAGGGAAAACCAGCACAGUACCAGAAACGGAGUUCAAACAGAUGUCAAGCUGAUUGAAUAACUGAGGCUUGAUAGAGUUACAUCACUUGUCCAAAGAGAUAAUGCCAGUGAAUGGAAUAGCCAGAUCGAAUUCCAGAAUCCGUAAAGCUCCACUGCUUCUCUCUGAAUGUAAUAACCCAUCCACAAGCCCUAAGAUAUUAGACACAUCAGUGAUCACUCCAUCUGCUUUUGGCCCAUUGCUGUUGUCAGGAUUUAUGCAUUUAUGUCUGCAAUAAUUAUUUAUUGAGGACCUUCUCUCUUGCAAUUGCAUAUGGCCUUAUAACUGAAUUCUGACUUUAUGUCUCUCUUAGGAUAGACAGAUAAAAAUUUUUCAUAUGUGAUCUUCUUUCUGUCCCCUACCUCUCAGCUAUGAGCCUGAAACAGCAGAUUCAGUAGAACAGAGUUUCUCAGGAAUGGCAGAGCCACAAGUUGGGAGGAGCCCAGCUCUGUCCAACAACCUGGAACAUCCAUCAACCAGGAAAACUGUUGCACUUUAUGUGAUUAAGAAACAUUUUUUAAGGAAAAAAGCAGUAAAUUUUUGGGUUAUAUUUGUUGCAAUAGCUGUGUUACUUUCCUAAUGCACAAUCACAAAUGUAAAAUGCCACACACAGAGUGUGAGGAAAUAUAUUGCUAUUGGACUACUUGUAGUCUAUUUAAUUUUUUUAUAUAGCUAUAGCCAGAUCUGGGGUGAAAUGGUUUAGAAUAAUAAUUUCCAAUAGUAUACAUCAUACCUUUAAAAAGACUUUUAUGGAUGGAUAAAUAUCUAAUUAUGGAACUGCCCUGCAACGUAAGUGGUGAGAGAAACUCUUUAUAUAUGCUUUGUUUUUUUCUGAAUGCAUAGGUUCAGAAUUAUUAAACAAAUCCUCAUCUUUUGACAGCCAGUAAUCAAUUUCUCAUUUGCAGGGAAUCUAAUUGCAUUAGAGGGGACACUGGGGAAGUUAUGGACUACCUCAUCUUUCUACUAUAAAAAAUGAAACUACUUGUCUGUAUUGAAUUUGAUUUUAUAUGUUCAAUGAAAUAUAUCAUAUCCUUAUAAUAAAGUUAUAUAAGUUGCAAUGA
rnacentral:lncRNA from 10 species